UACGAAGGGGGCUAGCGUUGUUCGGAAUUACUGGGCGUAAAGGGCGCGUAGGCGGCCCUGUCAGUCAGAUGUGAAAGCCCCGGGCUCAACCUGGGAACCGCAUUUGAUACUGCAGGGCUUGAGUUCCGGAGAGGAUGGUGGAAUUCCCAGUGUAGAGGUGAAAUUCGUAGAUAUCGGGAAGAACACCGGUGGCGAAGGCGGCCAUCUGGACGGACACUGACGCUGAGGCGCGAAAGCGUGGGGAGCAAACAGG
rnacentral:rRNA from 1 species